rnacentral:lncRNA from 1 species
GGUAUAAAUACAAAUUUGUCGGUAUAAUCCUAAACACACCACCAGCAUACCUAAGUUACUUUACUUGGUAAAGUUUUUACAGUUAUUUCUGUUAUUUUUUCAGACGCAUUUUGUAACGGUAAGGCAAUUAUAUAAUGAACAAAAUAUUGUAUUUAAUAAUUGUCACGUCAUCAAUCAUUCAAAUGUAAAAUUACAUUUAAGACUAAUAAUUAAAUAUAUAUGCAGAUAGCAUUGAGGUACGCCGCAAGUUUUAAACGGACAAAUACUCAGUCAUGAUUAUACUUCUUUUGAAAUUAUUGUUUAAGAAAAGAUAAUAAAUUGUUAACAUGUGAAUGAUGAAUUUUAUAUUAUAUAGCGGGCAUUCAGCCACACAUUACAUUAUGAUCGAAAUAUAGUAUUUUUAAUUUAAAACAUAUGGUUCGUAAAAGUUAUGCAUCAUUUGCAUUUUUAACGUGCGACAGUAAGCUAUAUAUUUAUAAGUAAUGUAUGCUUCUUAUCUAGAAGCGUAAAGUUAAUCACUUGCGAAGUAUUAUUGUAAAUGUCGUUCCAAUAGACUACCAUGCAAAUAUUUAUACCUUUAAAAUAACAACAACUUUACCUAAGUUGAAUAAUGGACCAUUUAAAUGAUUAAUUCUAAAUCUAUAGUUCAUAGAAAUGUCAACUGUUUAGUUUCACCAUUUAUACAGCUGACAUUUACUUAUAAGUAUAGUAAAAGAUUAUUCAUUCAAAAUAUUAAUUAGUAACGUAGGUUUCGAAUGCUAUGCAUUACAUCCAUAUGGUUUAAAUUAUAAAAAAAACACAAGUUAUUUAGAAUGCAUGAUUGAUGUUUUAUUUCUUUUCGAGGUUUAUUGAUAAAUAUAUCUUGCUGCUUGUUCUGAAAUAUGUGUCGUCCGGGGAUGAAAGACGACACAUUUGGACUGACUCUCACAAAUAAGGGUAAAUCAGUUAAGGGCCAACAUUUGUCGUUUCCCUUACUGAGUUGUUAUAAAGGGUCGUAGCGUGUAAGCAAUAAUCAUUCCAUCAUGUUAUCUAACAUUGAUAUCGUGAUUAAUGUCCCUAUUCUGAAUGGACGAAGUGCAUAUUUCUACUUCUAACGUACUAGUCACUUUGGCAUGGUUUUAACAGUCCAUAUGACGACCGAUAUAGUGACCAUAUAUGGUUCCCCCGUUCAUUCUUGCGAAAAACAAUUAUUGAGAAAAAUCUAAUAUAAUAGUAUAAACUGUAUAUUUCGGAAAACUGUAUACCUACUAUUGUGGAUUCAACUAUUAUUCGUUAGAUAUCAAUUUUCGUGGGGUUCGUGGUAACAUGUGAACCACAAAUUCAAAUAUCCAACGAAUUAACAAUUUUCUGUAGGUUUGUAUGCAGAGAUUGACAAAACCACGAAAUUAAAUAUCAUCGACAAUGCAAGUCUUCAGCUAUCUACGUAAAUUGUUACCUACGAAAAUAAAUGAAUCAACAGUAUCCUAGUUAUAUAGUUACUUAAAAUGAACAAAAGUCAGACACCGAAAAGGAAUCAGAGUUAUAUUUUGACUAUUUUAUUAAUUGUGACUGUUUAUUUAACGCAUCGUGUAAAUGUAGCGGAAUUUGAUAAGACUGUUAUUAAAGUGAGAGGGUUAGCGCUAUAGAACCAGGUUUAAUCCACCAUUUUCUACAUUUGAAAAUGCUUGUACCAAGUCAGGAAUAUGACAGUUCUUGUCCAUUCGUUUUUGAUGCGUUUUGUUUUUUGAUUUUGCCAUGUGAUUAUGGACUUUCCAAAUUGAUUUUCCUCUGAGAUCAGUAUUUUUGUGAUUUUACUUUUUACAUUCAUUAAAUAAAAUAAACAAACCCUUCAUAUUUUUUUCUUUCUUACAGAAUAAACUCAACAUGUAUAAACAAUAAAGAAUAAGAUGAUUGAUCAGCCAUUCAAAGCAAAGGUAAGUUAUACACGUUAGGACGUAUUUAAAUGGAGUAUUCAAAUUCACGAGGUCAAAGACAUUCGACUUCGACAUGGCAAAUCACAAAUUCGACAAACAACUUACAUCAUCAUAAUAGUCACAGAAAAGAGAUAUUUUUAUUCUCGUUAUUACUCAUUUAUAACAGUUAUAUGACAGUUGUUAUCCAUUCGUUUGAUGCGUUUUGACUUUUGAUUUUGCCUUUUGAUUUUGGACUUUCCUUUUUUUAUUUUCCUCGGAGUUCAGUAUUUUUGUGUUUUUACUUUUUAUACAGAAAAUGAUUCUUUGGAACAAUAUAUUUUCUUUCUCACCUGCAUGUCAGUAUCCAGAUCCUUUUUAUUUCUUUUGGCACACAUUUUAUAAGUAGCACAUACAUCCAAAAAUUCUUCCGUAUAGAUGUCGAAUUAUCACAUUAUAAAAAAGAAACUACAAGAUAGAAUAAAAUCAAAAUACAUACCAGGAUUGCAAUUUUAUUUUUGAGCCAGACUCCCGUUUUGUCUACCAUAGACUCGUCAGUGAUACUCGAUUAAAAAAUUGUAAAAAGUGAAAUAAAGUACGAAGUAGAAGAGCAUUGAGGACCGAAAAAUCCUUACAGUUUUGCCAAAUAAAGCUAAGGUUAUCACUUCCCGAGGUAGAAAACCUUAUUAUUGUUUUUCAAAAUUCUAAGUUUUGUCAACAGUAAAUUUAUAAUUAUGAACAUAUCAAUGAUAAUUCAAGUCAACACGAAAGUGUUGACUACUGCAGAACCGCAUUAAUUGAAACAUAGACAAACAGAUGAAUAACGUUUAUAUAUUUAUACCAAACUCUAUUCAAAUAAUGAACAUUUACUUUUUCGAACAUUUUUUGUAGAUUGCUUUAGAGCAUAGUGGAUUUUGGUCCUGAUGGGGGACGUUAAAUUCCAUUAUUGUAACAACGGUCGCCAAGUGGAAGAACGACGUCUAAUUAUAAGAAGAAAUAUUUAGAAAAUACUUUCACGUUUCACAAGUGUCUAUUGAAACUUUCAAAGACUUGCUUGGUAUUUCACUCUUUUUGGCCUUCCAUUACGUGAAUGAGGAGUUGUUGUUAUUUCCGUUCAACAUUUAUUGUGCUCUUUUAAAUUAUCUUGAACUUUGAUGAUAAGUUAAAUUGCUUUGGAUAGUCUUUUGAAACUUAACGUUGUAAACGUAAACCAAAAUGAAUUUGUUUUCAAAAGACAUAUGUAACGAAUUAAGAAAUGUUCAAAUAUAUAUAUGCAUAGUUUGGUUGAAAUGCAGCAAUACAAUACUUUUGGCUCUGUUUCAAGAAUGUGUUAAUACUUAUUUAUUAUACUGAUAAACUCAAAACAGUCAUCCUUACCUGUCGUAACAUGAAUAAAAAUCGCAAACACAUUUACCAAAACUAACACUUCAAAGUUAAAGCACGAAAAUACGUACAUCUCCUUGCGGGACAAUAGAAGAAAAGAAUUUAUCAUGUUGUCGGAACGUGAAAACAAUGGGUUUUUUUUUUAAAUUUU